rnacentral:rRNA from 1 species
AGCCCAAACCAACAAGCUUGCUUGUUGGGGUUGUAGGACACUCUAUACGGAGUUACAAAAGAACAUGUUAGACGAAUCAUCUGGAAAGAUGAAUCAAAGAAGGUAAUAAUCCUGUAGUCGAAAACAUAUUCUCUCUUGAGUGGAUCCUGAGUACGACGGAGCACGUGAAAUUCCGUCGGAAUCUGGGAGGACCAUCUCCUAAGGCUAAAUACUCUCUAGUGACCGAUAGUGAACCAGUACCGUGAGGGAAAGGUGAAAAGUACCCCGGAAGGGGAGUGAAAGAGAACUUGAAACCGUGUGCUUACAAGUAGUCAGAGCCCGUUAAUGGGUGAUGGCGUGCCUUUUGUAGAAUGAACCGGCGAGUUACGAUCUGAUGCAAGGUUAAGCAGCAAAUGUGGAGCCGCAGCGAAAGCGAGUCUGAAUAGGGCGUUGAGUAUUUGGUCGUAGACCCGAAACCAGGUGAUCUACCCUUGGUCAGGUUGAAGUUCAGGUAACACUGAAUGGAGGACCGAACCGACUUACGUUGAAAAGUGAGCGGAUGAACUGAGGGUAGCGGAGAAAUUCCAAUCGAACUUGGAGAUAGCUGGUUCUCUCCGAAAUAGCUUUAGGGCUAGCCUCAAGUGAUGAUUAUUGGAGGUAGAGCACUGUUUGGACGAGGGGCCCCUCUCGGGUUACCGAAUUCAGACAAACUCCGAAUGCCAAUUAAUUUAACUUGGGAGUCAGAACAUGGGUGAUAAGGUCCGUGUUCGAAAGGGAAACAGCCCAGACCACCAGCUAAGGUCCCAAAAUAUAUGUUAAGUGGAAAAGGAUGUGGCGUUGCCCAGACAACUAGGAUGUUGGCUUAGAAGCAGCCAUCAUUUAAAGAGUGCGUAAUAGCUCACUAGUCGAGUGACACUGCGCCGAAAAUGUACCGGGGCUAAACAUAUUACCGAAGCUGUGGAUUGUCCUUUGGACAAUGGUAGGAGAGCGUUCUAAGGGCGUCGAAGCAUGAUCGCAAGGACAUGUGGAGCGCUUAGAAGUGAGAAUGCCGGUGUGAGUAGCGAAAGACGGGUGAGAAUCCCGUCCACCGAUUGACUAAGGUUUCCAGAGGAAGGCUCGUCCGCUCUGGGUUAGUCGGGUCCUAAGCUGAGGCCGACAGGCGUAGGCGAUGGAUAACAGGUUGAUAUUCCUGUACCACCUAGUAUCGUUUUAAUCGAUGGGGGGACGCAGUAGGAUAGGCGAAGCGUGCUGUUGGAGUGCACGUCCAAGCAGUAAGGCUGAGUGUUAGGCAAAUCCGGCACUCAUAAGGCUGAGCUGUGAUGGGGAGAGGAAAUUGUUUCCUCGAGUCGUUGAUUUCACACUGCCGAGAAAAGCCUCUAGAUAGAUAACAGGUGCCCGUACCGCAAACCGACACAGGUAGUCAAGAUGAGAAUUCUAAGGUGAGCGAGCGAACUCUCGUUAAGGAACUCGGCAAAAUGACCCCGUAACUUCGGGAGAAGGGGUGCUCUUUAGGGUUCACGCCCAGAAGAGCCGCAGUGAAUAGGCCCAAGCGACUGUUUAUCAAAAACACAGGUCUCUGCUAAACCGUAAGGUGAUGUAUAGGGGCUGACGCCUGCCCGGUGCUGGAAGGUUAAGAGGAGUGGUUAGCUUCUGCGAAGCUACGAAUCGAAGCCCCAGUAAACGGCGGCCGUAACUAUAACGGUCCUAAGGUAGCGAAAUUCCUUGUCGGGUAAGUUCCGACCCGCACGAAAGGCGUAACGAUUUGGGCACUGUCUCAACGAGAGACUCGGUGAAAUCAUAGUACCUGUGAAGAUGCAGGUUACCCGCGACAGGACGGAAAGACCCCGUGGAGCUUUACUGUAGCCUGAUAUUGAAAUUCGGCACAGCUUGUACAGGAUAGGUAGGAGCCUUUGAAACGUGAGCGCUAGCUUACGUGGAGGCGUUGGUGGGAUACUACCCUAGCUGUGUUGGCUUUCUAACCCGCACCACUUAUCGUGGUGGGAGACAGUGUCAGGCGGGCAGUUUGACUGGGGCGGUCGCCUCCUAAAAGGUAACGGAGGCGCUCAAAGGUUCCCUCAGAAUGGUUGGAAAUCAUUCAUAGAGUGUAAAGGCAUAAGGGAGCUUGACUGCGAGACCUACAAGUCGAGCAGGGUCGAAAGACGGACUUAGUGAUCCGGUGGUUCCGCAUGGAAGGGCCAUCGCUCAACGGAUAAAAGCUACCCCGGGGAUAACAGGCUUAUCUCCCCCAAGAGUUCACAUCGACGGGGAGGUUUGGCACCUCGAUGUCGGCUCAUCGCAUCCUGGGGCUGUAGUCGGUCCCAAGGGUUGGGCUGUUCGCCCAUUAAAGCGGUACGCGAGCUGGGUUCAGAACGUCGUGAGACAGUUCGGUCCCUAUCCGUCGUGGGCGUAGGAAAUUUGAGAGGAGCUGUCCUUAGUACGAGAGGACCGGGAUGGACAUACCUCUGGUGUACCAGUUGUCGUGCCAACGGCAUAGCUGGGUAGCUAUGUAUGGACGGGAUAAGUGCUGAAAGCAUCUAAGCAUGAAGCCCCCCUCAAGAUGAGAUUUCCCAACUUCGGUUAUAAGAUCCCUCGAAGAUGACGAGGUUAAUAGGUUCGAGGUGGAAGCGUGGUGACACGUGGAGCUGACGAAUACUAAUCGAUCGAAGACUUAAUCAAUUUUUAAA